rnacentral:rRNA from 1 species
CUACGGGAUGCUCCAGUGAGGAAUUUUGCGCAAUGGGGGGAACCCUGACGCAGCAACGCCGCGUGAGUGAUGAAGGCUUUCGGGUCGUAAAGCUCUGUCAAGUGGGAAGAACCUAUGCAGUGUUAAUAUCACUGUAUACUGACGGUACCACUGAAGGAAGCACCGGCUAACUCCGUGCCAGCAGCCGCGGUAAUACGGGGGGUGCAAGCGUUAUUCGGAAUCAUUGGGCGUAAAGGGCACGUAGGCGGCUUGGUAAGUCAGAUGUGAAAGCCCGGGGCUUAACCCCGGAAGUGCAUUUGAUACUGUCAGGCUUGAGUAUGGGAGAGGGAAGUGGAAUUCCUGGUGUAGAGGUGAAAUUCGUAGAUAUCAGGAGGAACACCGGUGGCGAAGGCGACUUCCUGGACCAAUACUGACGCUGAGGUGCGAAGGCGUGGGUAGCAAACAGGAUUAGAUACCCCAGUAGUC